rnacentral:misc_RNA from 1 species
GGACAACAGGGGAAGAUAGUUUUGACUUGAAAAUAGGUAUGAAAAAAGCAAGGCAGCUGAGGGGGAAAAAUACUUUCUUUGGCACUUUGACACAGAGCUGGAGAGGCAAGAAUGUAGCUGCUAUCAACAGAAAGGCUACAAUAUUGGCCUUUUCUAAAGUAAUGGCCAUGUGCCCAUGGAAACAGACUGAAAUGGUGGGAAAUUGCUAUUUGCACAAUUUCAAAUGUGAAUUUGUUAAACCCACUUGCAAUAAUGAAGUGAAAUGUAACAGAAGCUAAAAUAUCAUUAGAUAAAGUCCAUUUUUUAAAACCAUGAUGCGAUUACCCUAUUGAUGAUUUUGAACAAAUCAUAGAUGAGAUUGUGAAGAUAAAUUAAGCAUAUGACCUUUCAUGUAGGACCAUGACUAUUUUAAAAAAGAAUUUAAUUUGCAUUAUUCAUUAAGAUCUUCUUACUGAAUAUGUCAAACCUAACUUACAAACAUUUUUCUCAUGACUAAUUGUUAAAGGUUGGUGUCAAGGUUGAAGUAGCAUUUUGGUUAAAAACAUUAUCAUUAUGAUAAGAACCUAUAAACUUUCUCCUUGUAGAAAGAACCUUGCACCAUACAUACAUUCACAAAGGCCAUCCAGGCAUUCUAAUAAUGUAUUAUCAUAUAGACAGGAAACACAAGAAUUUUCACCAAUAGAAAACCAGAAGAAAAGAAAAAGCAAGCAACAUAAUAGAAUAAAAUCAAGUGGCUUUUUGCAUGACAUUUAAGCAGACAGCUUUUAAUAAAAAUUCGUACCUCCGAACAAGAGCCUGGAGAAA